rnacentral:rRNA from 1 species
UACGAAGGGGGGCUAGCGUUGCUCGGAAUCACUGGGCGUAAAGCGCACGUAGGCGGAUUGUUAAGUCAGGGGUGAAAUCCUGGAGCUCAACUCCAGAACUGCCUUUGAUACUGGCGAUCUCGAGGCCGGGAGAGGUGAGUGGAACUGCGAGUGUAGAGGUGAAAUUCGUAGAUAUUCGCAAGAACACCAGUGGCGAAGGCGGCUCACUGGUCCGGUACUGACGCUGAGGAGCGAAAGCGUGGGUAGCAAACAGG